rnacentral:rRNA from 1 species
GUGAGUCAUCGAAUCUUUGAACGCACCUUGCGCCCCCUGGUAUUCCGAGGGGCACACCCGUUUGAGUGUCGUGAAAACCUCAACCUCCUUGGUUUCUUCUGGAGACCAAAGCAGGCUUGGACUUUGGAGGCCUUUGCUGGCACCUCUCGCCAGCUCCUCUUAAAUGAAUUAGCAGGGUCCUCUUUGCUGAUCCUCGACGUGUGAUAAGAUGUUUCCAUGUCUUGGUUUCUGGCUCUGUCACCUUUGGGACCCGCUUCUAACCGUCUUCAACCUUGCGUUGAGACAACGUUCGAGCAUGUCUCCCUUCUCGGGAAGCUCCCUCGACCCCACGAACCCUUGACCUCAAAUCGGGUGAGACUACCCGCUGAACUUAAGCAUAUCAAUAAGCGGAGGAA